UACGAAGGGGGCUAGCGUUGCUCGGAAUCACUGGGCGUAAAGGGUGCGUAGGCGGGUUUUAAGUCAGGGUGAAAUCCUGGAGCUCAACUCCAGAACUGCCUUUGAUACUGAAGAUCUUGAGUCCGGGAGAGGUGAGUGGAACUGCGAGUGUAGAGGUGAAAUUCGUAGAUAUUCGCAAGAACACCAGUGGCGAAGGCGGCUCACUGGCCCGGUACUGACGCUGAGGCACGAAAGCGUGGGAGCAAACAGG
rnacentral:rRNA from 1 species